UGGCUUAGAAGCAGCCAUCCUUUAAAGAAAGCGUAAUAGCUCACUGGUCGAGUCGGUCUGCGCGGAAGAUGUAACGGGGCUAAACUAUGCACCGAAGCUGCGGAUUCAGAAUUUAUUCUGAGUGGUAGGGGAGCGUUCUGUAAGCCGUUGAAGGUGACCCGGGAGGGUUGCUGGAGGUAUCAGAAGUGCGAAUGCUGACAUGAGUAACGAUAAUGGGAGUGAAAAACUCCCACGCCGGAAGACCAAGGGUUCCUAUCCCAUGUUAAUCAGGGUAGGGUAAGUCGACCCCUAAGGCGAGGCCGAAAGGCGUAGUCGAUGGGAAACAGAUUAAUAUUUCUGUACUCGAUAUAAUUGCGAUGGGGGGACGGAGCAGGCUAAGCAAGCAUAGCGUUGGUAGUCUAUGUGAAAGUGAGUAGGGCGUUUGUUUAGGUAAAUCCGGACGAACAUUAAACCUGAGACACGAGACGAGUCACUACGGUGAUGAAGUUGCUGAUGCCAUACUUCCAGGAAAAGCCUCUAAGCUUCAGAUUAUAUGGAAUCGUACCCCAAACCGACACAGGUGGUCAGGUAGAGAAUACUAAGGCGCUUGAGAGAACUCGGGUGAAGGAACUAGGCAAAAUCGUACCGUAACUUCGGGAGAAGGUACGCUCCUAUCUGUGAUGAGACUUGCUCUCUAAGCGGACGGGAGCCGCAGUGACCAGGUGGCUGGGACUGUUUAUUAAAAACACAGCACUGUGCA
rnacentral:rRNA from 1 species